GGGUUGUGAGGUUAAGCGACUAAGCGUACACGGUGGAUGCCCUGGCAGUCAGAGGCGAUGAAGGACGUGCUAAUCUGCGAUAAGCGUCGGUAAGGUGAUAUGAACCGUUAUAACCGGCGAUUUCCGAAUGGGGAAACCCAGUGUGUUUCGACACACUAUCAUUAACUGAAUCCAUAGGUUAAUGAGGCGAACCGGGGGAACUGAAACAUCUAAGUACCCCGAGGAAAAGAAAUCAACCGAGAUUCCCCCAGUAGCGGCGAGCGAACGGGGAGGAGCCCAGAGCCUGAAUCAGUGUGUGUGUUAGUGGAAGCGUCUGGAAAGGCGCGCGAUACAGGGUGACAGCCCCGUACACAAAAAUGCACAUGCUGUGAGCUCGAUGAGUAGGGCGGGACACGUGGUAUCCUGUCUGAAUAUGGGGGGACCAUCCUCCAAGGCUAAAUACUCCUGACUGACCGAUAGUGAACCAGUACCGUGAGGGAAAGGCGAAAAGAACCCCGGCGAGGGGAGUGAAAAAGAACCUGAAACCGUGUACGUACAAGCAGUGGGAGCAUGCUUAGGCGUGUGACUGCGUACCUUUUGUAUAAUGGGUCAGCGACUUAUAUUCUGUAGCAAGGUUAACCGAAUAGGGGAGCCGAAGGGAAACCGAGUCUUAACUGGGCGUUAAGUUGCAGGGUAUAGACCCGAAACCCGGUGAUCUAGCCAUGGGCAGGUUGAAGGUUGGGUAACACUAACUGGAGGACCGAACCGACUAAUGUUGAAAAAUUAGCGGAUGACUUGUGGCUGGGGGUGAAAGGCCAAUCAAACCGGGAGAUAGCUGGUUCUCCCCGAAAGCUAUUUAGGUAGCGCCUCGUGAACUCAUCUCCGGGGGUAGAGCACUGUUUCGGCAAGGGGGUCAUCCCGACUUACCAACCCGAUGCAAACUGCGAAUACCGGAGAAUGUUAUCACGGGAGACACACGGCGGGUGCUAACGUCCGUCGUGAAGAGGGAAACAACCCAGACCGCCAGCUAAGGUCCCAAAGUCAUGGUUAAGUGGGAAACGAUGUGGGAAGGCCCAGACAGCCAGGAUGUUGGCUUAGAAGCAGCCAUCAUUUAAAGAAAGCGUAAUAGCUCACUGGUCGAGUCGGCCUGCGCGGAAGAUGUAACGGGGCUAAACCAUGCACCGAAGCUGCGGCAGCGACGCUUAUGCGUUGUUGGGUAGGGGAGCGUUCUGUAAGCCUGUGAAGGUGUACUGUGA
rnacentral:rRNA from 1 species